AACAAACACACUGCAAAAGAUUAAGUUACAUCAAAUGGAUCUCCAAGAGACCAUUGUAUCGAGAAGAAAAACAAGAGAGAAAUAUAUCUAGCUACUGGCUACAGACCCAUAGGUCUGAUAUGAACUACUCACCCAUCAUCGGAGGAGAACCAAUGAGGAUGAUGAACCCCUCUGUGAUCGUGUUCCACUCCGGGACGGGCUCUAGAUUGGAUUUCGUGGCUUCUGGAACUUGUGGCGGUUGAAACGAUUUUUUGUCGACUCCUCUAGGGUUUAUGGAAUAUUUGGGUAUUUAAAGAGCUCAGAGGUGAUGGAGGAGGUGCCCAAGGCCCCCACUAGCCACCAGGACGAACUAGGGGCCCCGGUCGUGCCCUGGUGCCUAGUGGGCCGCAUAGGCCUCCUCUGGUGAUCAUCCUUGGUCCCCAAGUUUCCUUCUGGUCCAGAAAAAUUCUCCAAAAAGUUCCGUGGCAUUUGGACUUCAUCUGGUAUUGAUUUUCUGUGAAGGAAAAAAUAGCAAAAAACAGCAACUGGCACUGAGCACUAUGUCAAUAGGUUAGUCCCAAAAAAUGAUAUAAAGUUGCUAUAAAAUGGUCAUAAACCAUCCAUGAA
rnacentral:lncRNA from 1 species